rnacentral:lncRNA from 1 species
CUACCUCAAAAAUUUCACUCAAAGAACUUGUUUUAAUUUCUAAAUAUCAUCACAUUGAUCAUUGGUCAUCAAGAUGUGACAUCAAAAAAAAAAGAUUUUAAGUUUUGAAAACCGUGCAUCUUGUAACAUUUUUUUUUAGUGUCAAUUUUUAAGAUUUUCUAAGUAUUCAUAGAUUUGUUUGGUCUACAGUAUUCUUUAAGCUCUCUAAAUUUUGUAAUUAGAUAUGGAAAUAUAUUUUAAGGUUAUCACCAAGAUUUUAGCAUUGAAACUAUAUUUCUCGAUACUAUUUGAAGGUGGGCUUCAUUUUGAAUGUUUAGAACCUCGGCUCUAUACAAACCUCACCCAUUAAAAAAAGACAAAUUUAUUAAAAUAUGUUUAUAAAAGAUAAAUUAUUGAAUAUUUUAUUUAAUCGUAACUAUUCCAAUAUGGAAAACG